rnacentral:tRNA from 1 species
GGUUAAAUACUUUAAAUAAAGAAGAAAUAGUUUGCAUCUAUUUAGCGGAUUUGUUCCUUUAACCA